GUCUGCAGCAGGUUGCUGUAUCAAUCAAUGACCUUGAUUGAUCUAAGAAGCAAAGCAGGGUCAUCCCUGGUUAGUAUUGGGAUGGGAAACUUCUAGGAAUUUCUGGUCUGCAGACC
rnacentral:rRNA from 1 species